UCUGGUGACUUGACGCGGUGGAAACACCUCUUCCCAUUCCGAACAGAGCAGUUAAGCACCGUAGUACCGAUGAUACCCUUUGGUGGGAAAAGUAGGUAGUCGCCAGGC
rnacentral:rRNA from 4 species